rnacentral:lncRNA from 1 species
GGGCCCGAGAGGCGGCCUCAGGUUAACUUCAAGCAUGUUGGGCUCUCCAGGAGGGAGAAGAGGCACCUUUGCCGUGGGUUGAGGACUCCUAGAACCAACCUGAGACUCCGCGGCCAUAUACACCUUACGACGUGUGUGUGUGUGGCGGGAGAUGGGAGGGGAGGAAUCCUGUAGAACCCAGAUCCCAUCAUUCCAGCAACUGCCAGAGCGUUCGAGAAUGUCAUGUCUGUACCUGUCUUCUCUCAUCUUUUGUGCCAACUGUUUUAUCAAACUUCUACCCCACUUUAGGUCUUCCAGUAGAUACCUGAAACCCUGAACUACAAUAUAUGUGAAAUACAGUGAAUGGCAGAAAUACUUUGAUAAAAGAUGUAAAUGCCUACCGACUGCAGAAGACAACAUCAACAAAGCACACUUCACAAAAAGUACAACACAAAUAUACUGCCCAGGUUCUAAAACAUGUAUAAGAGUUAACAAAAUCAGCUGAGGUUGAGCAGAAAUUGUAUAGGAAAAAAUAGGAAAAACACAGAGACCAAUCUCAGCUGCAAGAAGGUUCAGCUAGACACUGCAAGCAAAAGUAUAACUCCUGAAGAUACAGGAAAAGACCUUAACUGAGGGAUGGUUUCCUGCUGUGUCCUCGGAACCCCAGGGCCUGGUUCAUAGAGACAAGUAAGCAGUGACUGAAGAAAGUUGCAAAUGUGAAGACCUAGAAUUUACCAGUGAAUGACAAUUUGAAUGUGAGAAGCUUAGAAAAAGAGAAGAUGGUGGUCAGCAAGGGAAGAAGAAAAAUAAAAACAUGUGAAAAAAUGAGAGGAAUGGAUAUAGGCAGAGGACCAAAUGGCAUCAAACUCACAGCAAAUAGGCUAGAUUCACCUAUUUCAAAAGGAAAUUCUUUCUAGCAUAAAGAAAAGACAAAUAUUUAAGGUGAUGAAUAUCUCAACUACACUAAUUUGAUCUUUGACUCAAAUUAUAUGAAUGUAUUAAAUUAUUACCUAUACCCUGAAACUAUGCGCAUCUAUUAUGCAUCAAUAAAUAAUUAUUUAAAAAAAUAGAAAUGCUAGAACCGAAAAACUCAAUAAAGAAAUUAAAAAAGAAAAUCAAGCUACUGAAGAGAUCCCUGGGCUGUGAUGGAAACAAAUAAAAUGGCUUAUUUCUAAGGGCACUCAACUAUUGAGUAAGUCUGAGCCGAAAGGUAUAAAGUACCUUUGGCAAAUAAUAAUAAUAAUAACCACAAAAAUAAGCUUCUUAGAUAGCCUAUUGCUUUGUGGUUAUAAUAAUUAUACACUCCACUGGAUAGCAAGCAAUCUACUUAUCUACACGUGUAAGUUUGACUUGAAGUUUCUUCUAUUUUUCAUCUGCUGGAGUAACUCAAUUACUAGGCCAUCUGUAUUUGCAAAUCUGCAAAGUGAAUGUUGUCAUCCAGUAGCCUUGCCACAUGUGUCCUGAGUACUUUUUACAUUCUUUAGCUUCCUUGAUUCACUUCAGCCACCCUAGAAAUUACUGAGUUUCAAAUUAGAUUAAGUCUCCCUGAGAAGUGAAAUAAAUAUUGGAUGGAGAGAAGGAAAGAAGAUUCAGAUGGGUGGGGAUGAAGAAUGAGCCGUGUGAAGGAAGCAUGUUUGCUAAUAAACCUCACGGAGGAUGACCUGAGUACACAAUGCGGUUUCAUACUUUUAUCUUAAUGCUGCUCAUUAUAGCCAACUAUAAUCUCUGCCUGCCUGACAAUGGUUUGUGUAUAUGUCUGUUCGCCCACCUAGACCUGGAAUUCCCUGAAAGCAGAACCUAGUCUUCAUCUGCGUAUCCCCAGCUCCUAGAAUCAGGACUGGCACAAAGCUGUUACUCAGUAUCUUUUUGUUGAAUGAAGGAAGCAAAGACUCAAAUACAUUUUUUCAUUUUUUUCACCUUAUGAAACUUUUGGCCUCAUAAAACUUUUUGACUUAUGAAACUUUCUUAAGGGCUAUGAAGUAAGGUUGAAUGCAUUGCUUUGUGUUCAAAAUCCCUUCAGCCCCUGUGGUAGUCAAUGGAAAUUUAUAUAAUCUGAUUACUUAUUAUAUCACCAAACCUCCAGAGUUGGGCACAGACUGGAGGGUGAACCCACCAACUAAAAGAGGCAGAGGGACACAUGAGUGUUCACACAAGUGAUAAAUUAACAUAAACUACUUUAAAGGUUAUUUAAAAUUUACAUGUCUUGGAGUUAACCCUAAAGUAGCAGUUCUUAAUUUAGGGCUCAUGGAUCUUUAGCAAGUCCAAGGAUGAAUUUUAGGGGGCAUAUUUAUGAACCACAAAAACAAACAUCAAAGACAAAAUGAGUUAUACAAAGACAUGUGUUUUGGAAGGGAGGUGAUCUACAGCUGUCAUUAGAUUAUUGAAGGAGCCUAUGAUCCAAAAAUAAUAUAAUUCAUAACUUCAAACAGAUAUUUUCAGAGUAUGACAAGAAAUAUGCACAAGGAUGUUCAUCAUGGCAUAGAGAGAGUGGAAAAUUGGAAGUAAUCCAAAUGGAUUUCAAUAAAGGAGUGUUGAGCACAUAAAUAAAACAUAUAUGAUAUGCUG